UGAGCAACCUGCCCCCUACUUCGGGAUAAGCCUUGGAAACGAGGUCUAAUACCGGAUAUGAGCACCUGCCGCAUGGUGGGUGUUGGAAAGUUUUUCGGUGGGGGAUGGGCUCGCGGCCUAUCAGCUUGUUGGUGGGGUAAUGGCCUACCAAGGCGUCGACGGGUAGCCGGCCUGAGAGGGCGACCGGUCACACUGGGACUGAGACACGGUCCAGACUCCUACGGGAG
rnacentral:rRNA from 1 species